UUGUACCUACGGGAGGCAGCAGUGGGGAAUAUUGGGCAAUGGGCGCAAGCCUGACCCAGCAACGCCGCGUGAAGGAAGAAGGCUUUCGGGUUGUAAACUUCUUUUCUCAGGGACGAAGCAAGUGACGGUACCUGAGGAAUAAGCCACGGCUAACUACGUGCCAGCAGCCGCGGUAAUACGUAGGUGGCAAGCGUUAUCCGGAUUUACUGGGUGUAAAGGGCGUGUAGGCGGGGACGCAAGUCAGAUGUGAAAACCACGGG
rnacentral:rRNA from 1 species